CAAUAAACCACCAUAUCUCAAGAUCUAAGGUAGCUAGACUGAGAGUUGAUCUUCAACUCAAGUAUUAAUGUUGUCUCGAUUUUCAAUUUGAAGAUUUUAGGGAUUCAAGACUUCUCUCAUCCAUUUCUUGAGGUAAUGCUAUUGAGCCACAACCUUGAGUUGGCGUGGGAACUUAGAUGUGAGCUAGAAGAGCUCUAUUGAUUGUGGCCUAGGGCUUUUAUUUUGUUGGUCGAGUGCCAUUUCUUUUGUAAGAGAUAAUUUCCUUUUUACUUUGUUGUAAGCCCAACGUAAAUCUCUUUUGUAAUGAAUGUUGAUCCAUUUAACUUUACAUACUAUAUAUUCAUGCCA